rnacentral:rRNA from 1 species
GGGUAACCCGUGCCCCGAUGAUUGGGACAACCCGAGGAAACUCGAGCUAAUACCAAAUGUGCCCUCCGGCCUCAAGGCCGCUGGGGAAAGGAAGCUUCGGCCUCCGCAUCGGGAUGGGCCCGCGGCCCAUUAGCUUGUUGGUGAGGUAACGGCUCACCAAGGCAACGAUGGGUAGCUGGUCUGAGAGGACGAUCAGCCACACUGGGACUGAGACACGGCCCGG